rnacentral:lncRNA from 1 species
CCGAUGCUCCCCCAGCUUGGGCUUGGCGAGGACAGUUGGGGGCCGGCCGGAUCUCCCCUCCGGCUCUCCCUGCACCCCAAAAGAACGGCCCACCAAGCUGGGUGAAGCCUUUUGGGACCCGCAGUUACUUUUAUUGAUUUUCUUGAGACCUGACAGCCAAAAAAAAGGGGCGCGGUGCGCAGUGGAAAGAGGCCAGGCCCUGCAGAAAAUGCCAGGCAAACAGACCUCCCGAACAAAGGAGCGCACCCAACUUAGACACCCCCAGACUGCUUUGAAAUUCUUCCUGCCCUUGCAACGUCUGUUUCUUUGAAGGUGCACCUUUGGACCAAAGCCGUUGGUUUCUUCCAAAUCCAUCCGGUGAACCUGCCCCCACCUCCCGUAAACAAAGAAAAAGCCAGGGACUGACCCCAAGUUUCUAGGAGCAGCAGUGAGGUUGACAUAUUUCAGACAAAUCGCAGCAGCCAACUUCCUGUCCGGCCCCUUUUCCACGGAGAAACCCUCCCUCCACCCUUCCCGGGUCCAGGUGAAGAGAUUAAAACUCUACACGAGCCCCUACAUGGAAUGCUCAGCUGGGCGACAUUUUUUAAUAUUGCAUUACACUAUGAAUUUCUCUCUGUCCCCAUGGAAACAUACCUCUAGUUCGGUGGAACGUGCCCAGCCCUUCUAUCUUGAACAGAAGAUCACAGUAUUUAAUGCUAAUUUCCUUGGGAUGGUGCUUACAAUACACCAGGUGAGGUUUUCAUAAUAUACUGUUACAAUACAGAUGUUAAACAGAGAAGGGGAAGUGUGCAAAUCCCAAACUGCAAGAGACAGCAGGGUUAUCAUCUUUAUAAAAGUUUCAGCACAAAAUACUAUCCGAACACUGAGGAGGAGCCGCUCAGCAGUUUCCCACUGCCAGGAAGAGAAAUUCACAUGUUGAGGCGGUCCC